AGCUUUGCGCAGUGGCAGUAUCAUAGCCAAUGAGGUUUAUCCGAGGCGUGAUUAUUGCUAAUUGAAAACUAAUCCCAAUACCCCGUUAUGCUGGCGUUAGUCAGCAUGACAAUUUUUGUGGGUCUCUACGGAGA